UAUACUUGAGGACUGUGAUAGGUGGAAAUGGAAUUUAAAAAAUGACUUUAAAAAAAAAAGUCAUUUCACCAGCAUAGACACCUUUAUUUGACAGUUAUGAGACAGGAAAUCAUGGGAGAGAGAGGGGAUGCAACAUGCACCAAAGGACCGGGAUUCGAACCGCAGUUGGCUGCGUACGUGUAUGUAUUAAACUUCGCUAUGCCAUGGCCACCCCACACUAGCUUUGUGUCCCAUCUUGGCCACCCCAGUAAAAAUGUCCUGGAUACGCCACUGAUUUGGGGGAAGCUCAAUGUGCGACUGGCUCGGAGUGGCUGUAACUCUGCACCACGGCUGAAUUUCGGGAACGUCUUUGAAUACUGUUAGUUGCCCACUAAUACCUAUAUUAAAGAAUACAUAAAAUAGCAUGUCAUGGGACCUUUAACUAGAACUAACUUUGUUCUCGUUUGAGAAGGUCAUAGAACUCAUUAUAGAGAUUUUAUCGUAUAAAAACAUUCAUUUGGGGUAGUUCAUCCGUGUGUGGAAUUAAAAGUUCUACGGCCUAACCCAUCACUGCAGAUCAUCUCCUCACUGCGGAUGAGGGGAUAUGUGUGUUCCUGUUGUGACCGACAGAAGACGUGUUGCACAACAUCACACGGAGCUCCGAACCAGCAUUAGAUGUUCCUGAACAAGGCGCGUGAUGGUUUUCUUUUGUGCUGCGGAAUCAAACCAGCCGUUGCUGUAUUUAUUAACGGAUGUUUUUAUCAUCUAGUAGCCAAGUGCUUUUCUCUGGGGUUCAUCUGAGGAGACAGAUCAGAGAAGGUGUUGAGGCUUGAGGAGACACGCCCGCUGAAUCACAGCAGCCCCCACUGCAGUAGGGCCGAUUGAGUGUCGGACUGGAAGGUGUUAAAGGGAUGCUUCACCCAUUCAGAACCGGUGUUCUAUCAUUAUAACUAACAUAAUAACGAACGGUUCUCGUCUUCAUUUCCGAUCGAGAACGGCCGGUCAAAGGGGUUGGUAUGACGGGGAUUCGAUCCGACGCUUUAUAAUAAGAGCUGUGAUAUGAAAUAAAACUUAAAAGAUAGAACGCUUCACGAAUUUGCGUGUCAUCCUUGCGCUAUCUGUCCAGCGAUGCUCUCUGUUUCUCAGCCAAUCAGCAACCCCGCAUCAACUCCAGAGACCUCAACUCCAGAGACGCCCCGAUCAAUCAGCAACCCCGCAUCAACUCCAGAGACCUCAACUCCAGAGACGCCCCGCCCAAUCAGCAACCCGCAUCAGCAUCAACUCCAGGAAAACUUUCCACGUGUGUCAGCCAUUAUCUCUGCAUUCGAGGAUAAGAUGUCUUUUGCAAAUUUAAAAAUGACGCCGUCGCAUCAGUUGGUCCUGCGGGCCUCUGAUUCGGCGGCAGCCUUCACCGCCGCCACGGGGCCACGCGGGACCCAGGCUCCCGCCAGGGCCAAGAAGCCGGGGGAGGUGGAGAAGGAGGCCCGAGCCCGCGUCGUCUCCGAGGGUGGUGACCCUGGGAACCCCAUGCUGGUGCUGGACUGCCACAGCAUCCAGCUGGGGAAGUACCGGGGUCAGACCUUCAGAUGGCUCCUGGAGAACGACGCGGGCUACGCCUGUCACCUGGUCGACAGUCACCAGCAGGAGCGGGAGACGAGUGCCUCGGACAGCCCGCUCAUGGCCAACAAGGACAGCCUCGCCCGCUACUCCUGCGCCCACCCCGCUUUUGCGGAGCACCUCCAGUUCCGCCGGGCGCAGGAGGAGGCCCGGGCUCGCGCCACUCUGCCCGGGCGGGGAGGCGAGGCGCUUGUUGGCAUCGGGCUGUUCAAGGAGGACACCCUGAAGGACCUGUACGACUCCAAGGACAAGGAGCGUCAGACCUACGUCAAGUGGCUACGGCGGAAGACCCCGCAGCCUGGGAGCGCCAUGGACGUCGCCAUAAAGUACAUUCUGGGCCGAGACAAGGAGCGGUCGGCGGAGGCGGCUGCUACACCCCCUCCGCCCGCCAGCAGCAGCACCAGCAGCGGCCUCAGCACCUCCACCAGCAAGGCCGCUGCUUCCACCGUGCUGCCGCCCCGCAAGCCGACCGCUCCCAAUUUCUCGGCCCUUGUGCGCGGGCGUCCGAUGGGCCCAGGGGAGCUGCAGGCCCGGAUCAGGAGACUGAUGACCCCACCAGCACGGCCUGCAGCUCCAGCGGUGUCUUCCGUCAGAGACCAGCGCCCCUCGGUUCCGCCGCCCCCCACCACAGAGGUGAUGGACGAGGAGCUGGUCCAGACGGUCACUGACGUGGAAAUGGGUAGCUGGCACCACAUGCAUACAUACACACCACAACUGAUAUCUAUUCUUGAGUCAGUGUGUUUGCAUUAACUGUAACUUUUUCAUUUGCCGGUCGCUAAAGCUGAUGCCUGAAGGACAAAGGUAGGUUUAUCAGGUGAUGUAGCCGUCUUUGUUGGUGGUAGACGCGCCGUCCUCACUCACGUAGUGGUAAUGUGGAUUUGAUUAAACUCCCAGUCUAGCAAACCUCGCCUUGUAACUAACAUUCGCCUUGUAGCACACCUCUUAACGGUCGCCUUGUAGCACACCUCUUAACAGUCGCCUUGUAGCACUAAACCAUUUUAUCUAAUCAACGGCAUGCUGCACGUCAUGAAUGCUCAGACUCACUUAGUCUCGCCUGCCUGUGUGUUGCCCCGUCACUCUCAUUGUGCUGAUGCCAUUUGGUUGUGCGUGACCGUGUCUGAAGCUGGCGUACAGGUCCUUCAGGCCCUCCCGCUCCCGCUGGAGACGCCUCCGUCUCCGCCUCCUCCGGCACCGUCCUCCACCCCUCCCCCACCACCACCACCUCCACCACCACCAUCCCCACCACCACCACCACCACCACCACCACCACAGGUUGCGGCUGCUCCGCCGACGGUCGGACUUCCUGCUCGGGCUCCGGCGCAGACCAGGGUGGAGCCUCGUGGCGUCUCCGUGGAGGAGACGCCAUGCGGGGAGGCCACCCUGGCGCCGGAGCCCGAGAAGAAGAGGAGGAAGACGACGACGACGAAGGGCGACGUGGAGCAGCCGGCAACGCCCGCUCCUGCUCGGGCUGAGACCCGGUUGGCUGAGGGCUGGCGGACAGCCCUCACCGGGGGAGGAGCAGGAGCUGAACAGUAGGACCCUCUCGCUGUGGUUCACCCGGACGCAGCGAGAGAAGGAGAGGGCUGUGUUGACUCCAGGCGUUGCAGCAGACGGAGGACGACCACCGGCGGCGGCCGCGGCGACAGCGCCGGGCCCGGCCUCGGCAGCGGCGGUGGAUCGUCCGGCGGCAGCAGCGACGGCGACGUCGGCGGUGCCUCAAGGCCGGGCGACGCCAGCGGCAGCGAGGGGGGCGGCGGUGGCCCCGGCAGCGGCCCCGGCUGUGGCAGCACCGGGGCCCGCUAUGCCGGCGCCCAGACGGCUACUGGCGCCUCGACGGCUACUGGCGCCUCGACAGCCCGCCCCCUCCGCUGCUUACCCGGCCUUCCUGCCGACGGCUGCUGCCGCAGCUGCAACUGGACCUUUAAGAGCAGCACAGCCUCUCCUUGUGGACCUCUUACUGCCCCGGCAGAGUGUGUGGGUGCUCCCCGUCCCCGUCCUGACGCUCCCUCGGACACUGCCGGCUCCACACGUCCUCCCUCCGCCGCUGGCCGCCGCACAGCACGCCGGCCCUGAGCUGCCGGUAGCCCUGCCCGCCGCGCAGCACGGCCCGGCCCUGAGCUGGCUGUACCCCUCAAAACGGUAGAACGGAGGAGGCUGAACGCCAAGCGGCGGGCGGAGGCACAGCCGGGCACAACAUACUCCUCCCGGGCCGGCGUGCCACAGGUGCAUAAGUGCAGUAAAUGCGGCCAGCCGAGGCGGAGGGAGACCGGACACUCCCGCCACGGCAGAGAAUACUUCUGCUCCGUCGCGGCGGGUCAGAGUGUGGAGGACUGGCUGAGGGAGAAGAGGAGCGGGACCAGGGUGGAGCCCCGCACUGAUGCACACUCUUGCCGGGGAUGGUGUUGUACAUAGUUCUCUUUUGUAUAUAGUUGUUUUUCUGUUGUGUAUAUAGUUAUUUUGCUGUGUUAGUGUAUAUAGUUGUUUGCUGUAUAUAGUUUUCAUUUUU
ensembl:lncRNA